rnacentral:rRNA from 1 species
GACGAACGCUGGCGGCGUGCUUAACACAUGCAAGUCGAACGGAAAGGCCCUGCUCUUGUGGGGUGCUCGAGUGGCGAACGGGUGAGUAACACGUGAGUAACCUGCCCUUGACUUUGGGAUAACUUCAGGAAACGGGGGCUAAUACCGGAUAGGAGCUCCUGCUGCAUGGUGGGGGUUGGAAAGUUUCGGCGGUUGGGGAUGGACUCGCGGCGUAUCAGCUUGUUGGUGGGGUAGUGGCGUACGAGGGCUUUGACGGGUAGCCGGCCUGAGAGGGUGACCGGCCACAUUGGGACUGAGAUACGGCCCAGACUCCUACGGGAGGCAGCAGUGGGGAAUAUUGCACAAUGGGCGGAAGCCUGAUGCAGCAACGCCGCGUGCGGGAUGACGGCCUUCGGGUUGUAAACCGCUUUCGCCUGUGACGAAGCGUGAGUGACGGUAAUGGGUAAAGAAGCACCGGCUAACUACGUG